UACGUAGGGUGCGAGCGUUAAUCGGAAUUACUGGGCGUAAAGCGUGCGCAGGCGGUAAUGCAAGACAGAUGUGAAAUCCCCGGGCUUAACCUGGGAACUGCAUUUGUGACUGCAUUGCUGGAGUGCGGCAGAGGGGGAUGGAAUUCCGCGUGUAGCAGUGAAAUGCGUAGAUAUGCGGAGGAACACCGAUGGCGAAGGCAAUCCCCUGGGCCUGCACUGACGCUCAUGCACGAAAGCGUGGGGAGCAAACAGG
rnacentral:rRNA from 2 species